rnacentral:lncRNA from 1 species
GUGAGUUGGGUUUUUGUUUUUGUUUUUGUUUGUUUUAUAAUGUUUUUUGUUGUCAGACAAUAGACUGUUGUACAAAGAAUUGGGGCAUAGAGGAGAAAUGUUGGUCCUUUCUUGCAGAUUGUCUAAUAAUAAUAGAAUACAUAUGAGGUCUUAGUCUCUUGUUAUGGCUUAUUGUAAUGGGAAUAGAAAAUUUGUUCCUUCUUUGUUGAGUAGUUCUAUAUGGAAAACCCUAUAUGUUUUGAUUGGUAAUGUACUCAUAUGCAUAAACAAUUCCC